CAUUCAAACUGGAGACACUUAGCUACUUAGCCCCUCCGAAAAUUCAGCCAGUGGAAAAACACCUGACUGCCUGCCCUCCUGCUUCUCAUCUGCCUCUCCGAAGCUGUCUUGGCUUCAACUCUCAUCUCACGCCCCCUAUUGGAUGAAGCAGAGCUAAUUUCUUUUUCUUUUACCUUUCAAGUAUAAGAUCAUCCCCACCCCGGGUACCCACCCCCUGCUGGUCUUGGUGAACCCCAAGAGUGGAGGGAGACAAGGAGAAAGAAUUCUUCGGAAAUUCCACUAUCUGCUCAACCCCAAACAAGUUUUCAACCUGGACAAUGGGGGGCCUACUCCAGGGUUGAACUUUUUCCGUGAUACUCCAGACUUCCGUGUUUUGGCCUGUGGUGGAGAUGGGACAGUUGGCUGGAUUUUGGAUUGCAUUGGUAAGCAUGGGCUGAGAGGGCGUUUGCUGCUUAUUUAUAGUAAGCGUAUUUACAAUCAGCAGAAGGCAAUAAAAAAGAAAGAGACAUGGA
rnacentral:lncRNA from 1 species